rnacentral:rRNA from 1 species
GUGGCUCAAGCGAGGGGCCUGCACCCGAUCCCAUCCCGAACUCGGCCGUGAAAACCCUCAGCGCCGAUGGUACUGCGUCUCAAGGCGCGGAAGAGUAGGUCGUCGCCA